rnacentral:misc_RNA from 1 species
UCCCGAAAACGCUGAUUGUGGGGCUUUUUGACACAUAUUAUAGAUUUGCUGAGCCAUCGUUGUGAUAGUGUUUUCAAAUGCUUGGAAAUGACCUUCUAAUUGAUUUAUGACCAAUUUUAUCGAGUGACUUUUGAAGUCCUUAUUUGUAGAGGGUGUUGACAAAUUGCUGCUCGUAACGCGGAUAUCACCGCUGCAUUCAGAAAGUUUCAAAAUGGCCACUUGUAACACUGUUGUUUUACUACUGUGUCUGUUAAUUAAUGUCGACCAAGUGCUAACCAGUGACUAUGUUUUCAAUGAUCAACAAACACCAGCAUUUAAAGACUAUGAGAUGUUUCAAGAUAUUUUCCCUUUAACUGUGGGAAACUUCACGGACUUAGUGAUAAAUCGCCCCGACCCGUGGAUCGUCAUUUUUCACAAGGGGAUGCUGGAGCGAGGCUGGAAGUCCCUGGCUGUCAGCUUGAGGGGCGUGGUCUGGGUGGGCAUGGUCGACCUCAACAACAACAAACAACUGCUGCAACAAAUUGGUUACAGUGCUGACAACGACAGUGAUGCGCGUGUGUACAAAUAUGGCACCCAGAAAACAAAAUUAAAAUCUUGGCGUCGAGUUAGCGACCCCAACACUGCGAGAUCAACGGCUGUCAGUUCCAUCCCAGAUACAACCUUGCAGCUGACCUCAGAUGACCUUGAAGACUUUUUGAUUGACAGUUUCAUGUCGAAGCCGUCCCGAUUCCCUGCUGUCUUCAUAACAGAGGAGAGGGAAUCUUCAGCCAUGAUGAAAGCUCUGUCACUUCGCUUCCAAAAAUACUUCAAUUUUGGCAAGAUUGCGCAGCCAUCUUCAGCAGGUCUGCGUGGACUGGGAAUGGAGAGGUUUUCUAAGGACAUUCCUACUCUGCUUGUUCUCAUGGCAAAUGGAGAAAAUAUGGAAUCCCCACAAUUCAAUGCCAUACCCUUUGAUAAGAAAGCAAUGGGAGAGCUGAAUUAUCCAAACAUUUUAGCGUUUUUGUUUUCUGUUAAUCGUGAGUUCCGUCACCUGAUGCCGGGGGAGAAUGGGUCUGAUCGGAGAGAGACAGUGGAAAUGGAUGACAUAGUAAAGAUUGAAUCGCUGAGGUUCGAUGUCAAGGGCCUCCAUCACUCCACGGAGAGCAAGAAGGUUCUUUAUGAGGAAGUCAGUGAGCUGCACAUGGAAGAAACCAUCCAGAAAAGAUUACCUGAUGAAUUAUAGAGCAAUAUCUACAUAUGACAACAGCCAUAAUGUCUACAUAUUAUGUUGUCUGAUAUAUAUCUACAUGUGAAGUUAACAGACAUAAUGUCUACAUGUGAAGUUAACAGCCAUAAUGUCUACAUGAUAUUAACAGUCAUAAUGUCUACAUGAUGAUGUUAACAGUCAUUAUAUCUACAUGAUGUUAACAGUCGUAAUGUCUACAUGAUGAUGUUAACAGUCAUUAUAUCUACAUGAUGAUGUUAACAAUCAUUAUAUCUACAUGUGAAGUUAACAGUCAUAAUGUCUACUUGAUGAUGUUAACAGUCAUAAUGUCUACAUGAUGAUGUUAAUAGUCAUUAUAUCUACAUGAUGAUGUUAACAGUCAUUAUAUCUACAUGAUGUUAACAGUCGUAAUGUCUACAUGAUGAUGUUAACAGUCAUAAUGACUACAUGAUGUUAACAGUCGUAAUGUCUACAUGAUGAUGUUAACAGUCAUUAUAUCUACAUGAUGAUGUUAACAGUCAUUAUAUCUACAUGUGAAGUUAACAGUCAUAAUGUCUACUUGAUGAUGUUAACAGUCAUUAUAUCUACAUGUGAAGUAGACAGUCAUAAUAUCUACAUGAUGAUGUUAACUGUCAUUAUAUCUACAUGAUGAUGUUAACAGUCAUUAUGUCUACAUGAUGAUGUUAACAGUCAUAAUGUCUACAGGAUGAUGUUAACAGUCAUUAUAUCUACAUGGUGUUAACAGUCAUAAUGUCUACAUGAUGAUGUUAACAGUCAUAAUAUCUACAUGAUGUUAACAGUCAUUAUAUCUACAUGAUGAUGUUAACAGUCAUUAUAUCUACAUGAUGAUGUUAACAAUCAUUAUAUCUACAUGUGAAGUUAACAGUCAUAAUGUCUACUUGAUGAUGUUAACAGUCAUAAUGUCUACAUGAUGAUGUUAAUAGUCAUUAUAUCUACAUGAUGAUGUUAACAGUCAUUAUAUCUACAUGUGAAGUUAACAGUCAUAAUGUGUACUUGAUGAUGUUAACAGUCAUUAUAUCUAUAUGUGAAGUCAACAGUCAUAAUGUCUACAUGGUGAUGUUAACAGUCAUUAUAUCUACAUGUGAAGUUAACAAACAUUAUAUCUACAUGUGAAGUUAACAGCCAUAAUGUCUACAUAAUGUAUGAUGUUAGCCGUCAUUAUUGGUAGGUAUGAUGUUAACAGCCAUGAUAUGUAGGUAUGAUGUUAACAGGCAUUAUAUGUAUGAUGUUAACAGCCAUUAUAUAGAGGUAUGAUGUUAAUAGCCAUUAUAUGUAUGAUGUUAACAGCCAUAAUAUGUAUGAUGUAAACAGCCAUUAUAUGUAUGAUGUAAACAGCCAUUAUAGGUAUGAUGUUAACGGCCAUUAUAUGUAGGUAUGAUGUUAACAGCCAUUAUAUGUAUGAUGUUAACAGCCAUUAUAUAGAGGUAUGAUGUUAAUAGCCAUUAUAUGUAUGAUGUUAAAAGCCGUUAUAUGUAUGAUGUUAACAGCCAUUAUAUGUAGGUGUGAUGUUAACAGCCAUUAUAUGUCGGUGUGAUGUUAACGGUCAUUAUGUAUGAUGUUAACAGCCAUCAUAUGUAGUUAUGAUGAAGAUAAAGGACAUAUUGCCCUACAGAUGAAAGAAAUAAGUUGUUGGGCUCCCAUUCCAAGAGUUAUUGACAUGAUAUUCCAAUCUCAUGAAUUUGACCUCGGAAAAUGUGAAAUUUUAAAAGCAGUAAAAAGUGUCCAUUUAAAAUUUGAUAAAAAUGAAGUCGCAGCCAAAUGCAUAAGAAAACAUUAUCGUGAGACUGAAUCUCUUUGUUCUAGCAAUUCAUUAAUAUUUAUUGAAUUAAACAUGGAGCAUACAAAGUUGAGCAUUGCAAAUCAAACUUUAAUGUGCCAUAAAGACAUUGAUCUGAAAAGAAGAAAUCCCCAGGAGACCAAUUACUACAAAUAUUUGUGCAUAAUUCACAAGUUCUAUAUGCUGAAUGACUUGUGAACCUGUGACAGGGUUUAAGGUAUUCUUCUGGGGAAGAUCACAGCUAUCUUUCAGCCGCCCAGCAUAUCAAAGGCACAAAAAACAUAUUAUGAUUUUCUAUCUAGUGUCUUUAUAAAAUGACUCACCAGAUAUUGCCACAAAAUCAAUUUCUUUUAGUUUUCCAUUAGAUCUGCUCAAUCAUCCUGUCUGAGGUAUAUUCAGUGUUAAUCAUCUCGAUGCCGCUAGCCCCACACAACUAAUGGCUACCGUCAUGUUAUACACAGGAAUACAGUUCAGUUCCAUCUACAUUUGUACAAGUAGGUGUAUUUUCUGGUGUCUUAAGGCUAAGAACCAUUUGCUUUUUUAAUUGAGCUGAGCUGAGUUCUUGUGCACUUUUAUUCUAUUGUUAGAAUUUUGCAUCAUGAUGCUGAAAGGUUUUGGCCAAGGCCAGGUGAUUUCCAUACAAGACUAAUGACAGUUGAAGUAACACGAGACAGGUGAUUUCCAUACAGGACUAAUGACAGUUGAAGUAAUACCAGACAGGUGAUUUCCAUACAAGACUAAUGACAGUUGAAGUAAUACCAGACAGGUGAUACUUGAAGUAAUACCAGGCAGGUGAUAGUUGAAGUAAUACCAGACAGGUGAUAGUUGAAGUAAUACCAGACAGGUGACAGUUGAAGUAAUACCAGGCAGGUGACAGUUGAAGUAAUACCAGACAGGUGACAGUUGAAGUAAUACCAGACAGGUGAUAGUUGAAGUAAUACAAGUUAGGUGAUAGUUGAAGUAAUACCAGACAGUUGAUACUUGAAGUAAUACCAGACAGGUGAUAGUUAAAGUAAUACCAGACAGGUGAUAGUUGAAGUAAUACCAGACAGGGGACAGUUGAAGUAAUACCAGACAGGUGACAGUUGAAGUAAUACCAGACAGGUGAUAGUUGAAGUAAUACCAGACAGGUGAUAGUUGAAGUAAUACCAGACAGGUGAUAGUUGAAGUAAUACCAGACAGGUGACAGUUGAAGUAAUACCAGACAGGUGAUAGUUGAAGUAAUACCAGACAGGUGAUAGUUGAGGUUUUACCAGACAGGGGAUAGUUGAAGUAAUACCAGACAGGUGAUAGUUGAAGUCAUACCAGACAGGUGAUAGUUGAAGUCAUACCAGACAGGUGAUAGUUGAAGUAAUACCAGACAGGUGAUAGUUGAGGUAAUACCAGACGGUUGAUAGUUGAAGUAAUACCAGACAGGUGAUAGUUGAAGUAAUACCAGACAGGUGACAGUUGAAGUAAUACCAGACAGGUGAUAGUUGAAGGAAUACCAGACAGGUGAUAGUUGAAGUAAUACCAGACUGAUGCUAGUUGAAGUAAUACCAGACAGGUGAUAGUUGAAGUCAUACCAGACAGGUGAUAGUUGAAGUCAUACCAGACAGGUGAUAGUUGAAGUAAUACCAGACAGGUGAUAGUCGAAGUAAUACAAGACAGGUGAAAGUCGAAGUAAUACCAGACAGGUGAUAGUUGAAUUAAUACCAGACAGGUGAUAGUUGAAGUAAUACCAGCCACGUGGUAGUUGAGGUAAUACCAGCCACGUGAUAGUUGAAGUAAUACAAGUUAGGUGAUAUUUGAAGUAAUACCAGACAGGUGAUGGUUGAAGUAACACCAGACAGGUGAUAGUUGAUGUAAUACCAGACAGGUGAUAGUUGAAGUAAUACCAGACAACUGCUAUCCUUGAUCCUAGUUGAAGUAAUACCAGACUGAUGCUAGUUGAAGUAAUACCAGACAGGUGAUAGUCGAGGUAAUACCAGACAGGUGAUAGUGGGCUCCUGUUGGUCAUAUAGAAGGCUCCACAUUCUUACUUCAAGUGGCUCCUGUUGGUCAUAUAGAAGGCUCCACAUUCUUACUUCAAGUGGCUCCUGUGGGUCAUAUAGAAGGCUCCACAUUCUUACUUCAAGUGGCUCCUGUUGGUCAUAUAGAAGGCUCCACAUUCUUACUUCAAGUGGCUCCUGUGGGUCAUAUAGAAGGCUCCACAUUCUUACUUCAAGUGGCUCCUGUGGGUCAUAUAGAAGGCUCCACAUUCUUACUUCAAGUGGCUCCUGUUGGUCAUAGAGAAGGCUCCACAUUCUUACUUCAAGUGGCUCCUGUGGGUCAUAUAGAAGGCUCCACAUUCUUACUUCAAGUGGCUCCUGUGGGUCAUAUAGAAGGCUCCACAUUCUUACUUCAAGUGGCUCCUGUUAGUCAUAGAGAAGGCUCCACAUUCUUACUUCAAGUGGCUCCUGUUGGUCAUAUAGAAGGCUCCACAUUCUUACUUCAAUUGGCUCCUGUUAGUCAUAUAGAAGGCACCACAUUCUUACUUCAAGUGGCUCCUGUUGGUCAUAUAGAAGGCUCCACAUUCUUACUUCAAGUGGCUCCUGUGGGUCAUAUAGAAGGCUCCACAUUCUUACUUCAAGUGGCUCCUGUUAGUCAUAUAGAAGGCACCACAUUCUUACUUCAAGUGGCUCCUGUGGGUCAUAUAGAAGGCACCCCAUUCUUACUUCAAGUGGCUCCUGUUGGUCAUAGAGAAGGCUCCACAUUCUUACUUCAAGUGGCUCCUGUGGGUCAUAUAGAAGGCUCCACAUUCUUACUUCAAGUGGCUCCUGUUGGUCAUAUAGAAGGCUCCACAUUCUUACUUCAAGUGGCUCCUGUUGGUCAUAUAGAAGGCUCCACAUUCUUACUUCAACUGGCUCCUGUUGGUCAUAUAGAAGGCUCCACAUUCUUAUUUCAAGUGGCUCCUGUAAGUCAUAGAGAAGGCACCACAUUCUUACUUCAAGUGGCUCCUGUUGGUCAUAUAGAAGGCUCCACAUUCUUACUUCAAUUGGCUCCUGUGGGUCAAAUAGAAGGCUCCACAUUCUUAUUUCAAGUGGCUCCUGUGGGUCAUAUAGAAGGCUCCACAUUCUUACUCUAGCUGGCUCCUUUUGUUCACCUUCAGGGUCUCGUGGAUAGAGUGUCUGCCUGGAGAGCAGAAGGUUGGUGUUUAGAUCCCCUGGUUGUCAUACCAACAAAAUGGUACUUGUUGUUACCCUGCCUUUGGCGAUCAGCAUUAAGGAGAUAAAACAAGGACUGGUUGGCUGAGAGUCAGUAUACAGUGUCUGAGCGAGGUAUCCAUUUUAUGGUCUCUCAGAACCCAAGCACUACAAAAGCAGCAUUAGUCAGGAAUAUUUCAGAUGGCGUUGAACUGUUUCCUGGUACAGAGUCGUGUUUAUCUUUUGAUAUAGGAUAUAUUUUCAGCUGCUGGUUAAUUUACCGAUUGAAAUAGAUGUUUUUCACAGCUCAUCUUCAUUAUCAUGCUAUCGUUGUGAUCAAGUUUCUGUCUACUGAAGCUACUUGCAUCAUUUAAGAUACAGACUUCCAGAAAACACACCUUGACAAAUGUUAAAGUGCAUAUACACCAGCAGAAUAUGAACCCAGCUUAAACAGUUUUCUUUCUGUCAGGGGUACAAGGUUGCAUGCUGUAGAAUUAUUCUGUUUAUUUUGAAUGUGUUCCUAGACAUUUCUGUGUUGUGUUGAAGCAUGAUAUGUUUGACAAAUGUGGCAUCAUAUCUGAUACUGCAUCAGUGGCUGUAUCUGUGGGGGCACCUGCAGUGAUAGAGGGGAAUAUUAUUCUGUAUGCACCAACUUGUUCUCUGAUUGCAUUCCCGGAUGCCAGGAUUGUCUGGCAUCAACCACCAGGACCUGUUGUCAUGCCAACACAGUUCUGGUAUUAAUCAAACCAUUUACGUAGAUUUACCAAGAAAAUUGUGGUAUGUCAUAUUGACAUGUGGUGAUAUAGAGACAGGCGACAAUGUACAAUUCAUAUUGAUAUGUGACAUGAGAUAUGUGACAAUACAGAGAUGUGUGACAAUACUGAGAUAUGUGACAAUACAGAGAUGUGUGACAAUACAGAGAUAUGUGACAAUACAGAGAUAUGUGACAAUACAGAGAUAAGUGACAAUACUGAGAUAUGUGACAAUACCAAGAUAUGUGACAAUACAGAGAUAUGUGACAAUACAGAGAUAUGUGACAAUACUGAGAUAUGUGACAAUACAGAGAUAUGUGACAAUACAGAGAUAAGUGACAAUACAGAGAUAUGUGACAAUACAGAGAUAAGUGACAAUACAGAGAUAUGUGACAAUACAGAGAUAUGUGACAAUACAGAGAUAUACUGAGAUAUGUGACAAUACAGAGAUAUGUGACAAUACAGAGAUAAGUGACAAUACUGAGAUAUGUGACAAUAUAGAGAUGUGUGACAAUACAGAGAUAUGUGACAAUACAGAGAUAUGUGACAAUACAGAGAUAUGUGACAAUACAGAGAUACAUCUAUAUGACAGUUAAGAUAUAUGUUGCUGUAUGACAAUAUGAAAAUGAGUCCAUAUUCUUUCUCAAUAGGGGGCAGUGGGGUAGCCUAGUGGUUAAAGCGUUUUCUUAUCACGCUGAAGACCUGGGUUCGAUUCCCACAUGGGUACAAUGAGUGAAGCCCAUUUCUGGUGUCCCCCAUCCUGAUAUUAAAGGAAUAUUGCUAAAAGUGGCAUAAAACCAUACUAACUCAAUCACUCGAUUGUAUCUCUUCGAUUGUAUCUUCCACAGUAGAUCUUAAAACUGCUCCAACAGACUGGGAUUCCUCUUUUUCCAUAUUUAAUACUAUUUUCAUAUCGCAGUGGGGGGCACGGGUGGCCCAGUCGUCUAAGGCGCCGCGAUUCGCUGUGCAGAGUUGCGUCCCUUGGGCACGCCAGAAACCUAUGAUUGUGGGUUCGAAU